ACUCUCUUGAAGCAGCUUCCACCAUGUUACUCUUUGGACUUAUCUUGUUUAGUGCAACAGUAGGUAUUAACUUGGGUAAUACAAUCACAUCAAACCAAAACCAACGUCUCAGUGAAGAUGGAUCUAAUGUCACCUUGUCCUGUAACUACUCUACAACAGGCACUGGUGCAGGGUUGCAGUGGUAUGUCCAGUAUCCCAGAUCAGCUCCACAGUUCCUCCUGCUUGUGCUGCACGCCACUGGGAAAGACCCGAGCCCAGGCAAACAUCCUCGCCUGAUGGGGAAACUAAACCAAGAGAAAACUCAAGUGUUUCUGCAGAUCUCCUCUGUUCAAGUCUCUGACUCUGCACUGUACUACUGUGCUCUGAGGCCCACAGUGACAGUAAACCACAGACUGACAUUCAAAAACCAGACUGAUGCAUUUUCGUGCGAUCUGGGUUCCCGGAAGUGGCUCCUGAUAUUGCUCUGCCUAUCCCACAGUGACAGCAAACCCAACUUCAUCGAACAAAAAUCUGACUGA